rnacentral:rRNA from 2 species
UUUCGCAAUGCCCGAAAGGGUGACGAAGCGACGCCGCGUGCGGGAAGAAGGCCUUCGGGUUGUAAACCGCUGUCGGGAGUUAAGAAAUGCAAAGAUGUUAAUAGCAUCUUUGUUUGACUAAGGCUCCGGAGGAAGCCACGGCUAACUCUGUGCCAGCAGCCGCGGUAAUACAGAGGCGGCAAGCGUUGUUCGGAAUUAUUGGGCGUAAAGAGCACGUAGGCGGCUGUGUAAGUCGGUUGUGAAAGCCUUCCGCUUAACGGAAGAACGGCAUCCGAUACUGCAUAGCUCGAGUGCGGGAGGGGAGAGUGGAACUUCUGGUGGAGCGGUGAAAUGCGUAGAUAUCAGAAGGAACACCGGCGGCGAAGGCGACUCUCUGGCCCGUAACUGACGCUGAGUGUGCGAAAGCUAGGGGAGCAAACGGGAUUAGAUACCCCGGUAGUCCUAGCCGUAAACGAUGGGCACUAAGUAGAGGGGUUUU